rnacentral:rRNA from 1 species
UGGGGAAUAUUGCACAAUGGGCGCAAGCCUGAUGCAGCCAUGCCGCGUGUGUGAAGAAGGCCUUCGGGUUGUAAAGCACUUUCAGCGGGGAGGAAGGCGUUAAGGUUAAUAACCUUGGCGAUUGACGUUACCCGCAGAAGAAGCACCGGCUAACUCCGUGCCAGCAGCCGCGGUAAUACGGAGGGUGCAAGCGUUAAUCGGAAUUACUGGGCGUAAAGCGCACGCAGGCGGUCUGUCAAGUCGGAUGUGAAAUCCCCGGGCUCAACCUGGGAACUGCAUUCGAAACUGGGAGGCUAGAGUCUUGUAGAGGGGGGUAGAAUUCCAGGUGUAGCGGUGAAAUGCGUAGAGAUCUGGAGGAAUACCGGUGGCGAAGGCGGCCCCCUGGACAAAGACUGACGCUCAGGUGCGAAAGCGUGGGGAGCAAACAGG